rnacentral:rRNA from 1 species
UACGUAGGGGGCGAGCGUUGUCCGGAAUUACUGGGCGUAAAGGGCGCGCAGGCGGCCGUGUAAGUCCGCGGUGAAAGCCCGGGGCUCAACCCCGGAAGGGCCGCGGGGACUGCAGGGCUGGGGGCUCGGAGAGGAGCGGGGAAUGCCGGGUGGAGCGGUGGAAUGCGUAGAGAUCCGGCGGAACACCGAUGGCGAAGGCACCGCUCUGGCCGAGACCCGACGCUGAGGCGCGAAAGCGGGGGGAGCGAACGGG